rnacentral:rRNA from 1 species
AAACUCGGCAAAUUAGUACCGUAACUUCGGGAUAAGGUACGCCCGCGCAAGCGGGCCGCAGUGAAGAGGGGGUUGCGACUGUUUAUCAAAAACACAGCACUCUGCAAACACGAAAGUGGACGUAUAGGGUGUGACUCCUGCCCGGUGCUGGAAGGUUAAUUGAUGGGGUUAGGCGCAAGCCGAAGCUCUUGAUCGAAGCCCCAGUAGACGGCGGCCGUAACAAUAACGGUCCUAAGGUAGCGAAAUUCCUUGUCGGGUAAGUUCCGACCUGCACGAAUGGAGUAACGAUAGCCCCACUGUCUCCAUCCGAGGCUCAGUGAAAUUGAAAUUGCUGUGACGAUGCAGUGUUCCCGCGGCAAGACGGAAAGACCCCGUGAACCUUUACUACAACUUUGCAUUGGAUUUUGAGUUUGUUUGUGUAGGAUAGGUGGGAGCCUUUGAAGCCAGGACGCCAGUUCUGGUGGAGGCAACCUUGAAAUACCACCCUGAUAAACUCGAAGUUCUAACCUCGGCCUGUUAUCCAGGCUAGGGACAUUGCAUGGCGGGUAGUUUGACUGGGGCGGUCUCCUCCCAAAGAGUAACGGAGGAGUGCGAAGGUUACCUCAGCGCGGUCGGAAAUCGCGCUUUUGAGUGCAUACGCAUAUGGUAGCUUAACUGCGAGACAAACAAGUCGAGCAGAUACGAAAGUAGGUGUAAGUGAUCCGGUGGUUCUGUAUGGAAGGGCCAUCGCUCAACGGAUAAAAGGUACUCCGGGGAUAACAGGCUGAUACUGCCCAAGAGUCCAUAUCGACGGCAGUGUUUGGCACCUCGAUGUCGGCUCAUCACAUCCUGGGGCUGUAGCAGGUCCCAAGGGUCCGGCUGUUCGCCGGUUAAAGUGGUACGCGAGCUGGGUUCAGAACGUCGUGAGACAGUUCGGUCCCUAUCUGCCGUGGGCGUUCGAAGUUUGAGAGGAGUUGACCUUAGUACGAGAGGACCGGGUUGAACGUAUCUCUGGUGUUCCAGUUGUCACGCCAGUGGCAUCGCUGGGUAGCUAAAUACGGACGGGAUAACCGCUGAAAGCAUCUAAGCGGGAAGCCCACCUCAAGAUGAGACUUCGCAGAGCUUUAAGCUCUCUUAAGAGCCCUUCUAGACUAGGAGGUUGAUAGGCGCCAUGUGGAAGUGCAGUAAUGCAUGUAGCUAAGGCGUACUAAUUGCUCGUGAGGCUUGACC